AGAGAGCGACGGGCGAUGUGUACACACCUCAGAGCUCAUUUCAAUUAAGAAUUUUAUUCUCAAUUUACUACUAAAUCCACCUUCAUAAUUUGUAUUACACUAAUUAAUCCGUAUAAUUCUAUAUUAUUGUAACCCACUACUCCCAUGUUUAUAAGCUGCACCUUGACCUGAAGUCCCAAUUACCUAUUAAUUAGAUUAUAUUUUUUAAAAAUAAUCUGACAACGGCGGUAUACAAACUGAAAACAAAAACAUGUACAUUAAAACGUGGAUUAUCGAUCCAAGAGCAGGUUCCUCUAGUAAGAGUAAGGUACCGCCAAAUUCUUUAGGUUUCAAAAAUUCUACUACCCUGGUAAUUAAUAAAAUAAAGAAUAAUAGGGUAUCUAAUCCUAGUUUAAAUCUUAAUUUUCAAAGAUAAUUCAUUCUGUUAUAACUUUUCAUUUAAAAAAAUAAAAAUUUUACCCUUAAUUUUUUAUUUAAAAAAUUUAUUUAAAACAAAUAUUUACUUCAUUCCACCAAUCUAUUUCAUUUAAAUCCUUCGUAUAACC
rnacentral:rRNA from 1 species